GGGAAGGAGAGGAAGAGCAAAAGGUGGAGAUGGAUCUGUUGGAGAAGUAGGAGAAGCCAUUGGUAUAGGUGGUGUAGGAUAAGGAAGGUGGUGAAGGAUAAGAAGAGUAGUGAAGGAUAAAGAGAUUGUUGUUGAUGUUGUUGUUGGAGGAGGAAGUGGCGGUGAAGGAUAAGGAGGGUGGUGUAGGAUAAGAAGGGUGGUGAAUGAUAAAGAGAUUGUUUAUGAUGUUGUUGUUGUUGUUGUUGGAGGAGGAAGUGGUGGUGUAGGAUAAGGAAGGUGGUGAAGGAUAAGAAGGGUUGUUGUUGUUGGAGGAAGUGGUGGUGUAGGAUAAGGAAGGUGGUGUAGGAUAAGAAGGGUGGUUGUUGAUGUUGGAGGAGGAAGUGGUGGUGAAGGAUAAGGAAGUGGUGGUGAAGGAUAAGGAAGGUGGUGAAGGAUAAGAAGGGUGGUUGAUGAUGAAGUUGGAGGAGGAAGUGGUGGUGAAAGGGGAAAGGGGCAUGGUAAUAAAAGAGGGGGAAGAGGGAAGAGGUGGGUGGGGGAUAGGUAUGGUGGGAGG
rnacentral:lncRNA from 1 species